rnacentral:tRNA from 1 species
GCCUUGGUGGUGGAAUUGGUAGACACGCAGGACUUAAAAUCCUGUGCUCAUUAGAGCGUGCGGGUUCAAGUCCCGCCCGAGGUAC